AUACGUAGGGGGCGAGCGUUGUCCGGAAUGAUUGGGCGUAAAGGGCGCGUAGGCGGCCCGGUAAGUCUGGAGUGAAAGUCCUGUUUUUAAGAUGGGAAUUGCUUUGGAUACUGUCGGGCUUGAGUGCAGGAGAGGUAAGUGGAAUUCCCAGUGUAGCGGUGAAAUGCGUAGAGAUUGGGAGGAACACCAGUGGCGAAGGCGACUUACUGGACUGUAACUGACGCUGAGGCGCGAAAGUGUGGGGAGCAAACAGGAUUAGAUACCCUGGUAGUCCACACUGUAAACGAUGAAUGCUAGGUGUAGGGGGUAUCGACCCCUUCUGUGCCGCAGUCAACACAAUAAGCAUUCCGCCAGGGGAGUACGGCCGCAAGGUUGAAACUCAAAUGAAUUGACGGGG
rnacentral:rRNA from 1 species